rnacentral:rRNA from 1 species
UACGGAGGGUGCGAGCGUUGUCCGGAUUUAUUGGGCGUAAAGAGCGUGUAGGCGGCCAUUUAGGUCCGGUGUGAAAACUCGAGGCUUAACCUCGAGAUGUCAUCGGAAACCAUUUGGCUAGAGUCCGGAAGAGGAGAGUGGAAUUCCUGGUGUAGCGGUGAAAUGCGUAGAUAUCUGGAGGAAGACCGGUGGCGAAGGCGGCAUCCUGGACCGGUAUUGACGCUGAGGCGCGAAAGCUAGGGGAGCAAACGGG